GUAUGACCUUUAAGGUGCAAUGUUCGUGCAAGUAGUGAACAAUAAAAUUAAUGUAAACUCUGAUCUGUCUUUUGUCUUUAAUGAACAGAUGUGUAUACCUCUUAAAUAAGAAAAAUUAACAAUAGUGUAAAACCUUAAAACCUGUAUUAAAAAAUAAGGUGAUAAUGGAACACUCACAUAAUCCAGAGAGAAUGAACCUAGCUCUGGUGUAUAGACCUUUUUGGCCAAUUUUGGGUGACCCCUCUUCUGUAUAGCAACUUCGAGGGAUAACCCUGGUCAUGGAGAGCCAAGAGUGAAAAAUAUUAAAAAGAUGAAAAAAUGUGGUCAAAUCUGUUAUUCAUUAAAGUUUUUUGUUUACAUGGCCCCAUGCUCUAAAUGGG